UACAGAGGUCUCAAGCGUUGUUCGGAUUCAUUGGGCGUAAAGGGCGCGUAGGCGGCGCGGUAAGUCGGGUGUGAAAUCUCGGGGCUUAACUCCGAAACUGCAUUCGAUACUGCCGUGCUUUGAGGACUGGAGAGGAGACUGGAAUUUACGGUGUAGCGGUGAAAUGCGUAGAUAUCGUAGGGAAGACCAGUGGCGAAGGCGGGGUCUCUGGACAGUUCCUGACGCUGAGGCACGAAGGCCAGGGGAGCAAACGGG
rnacentral:rRNA from 1 species